GACGAACGCUGGCGGCGUGCUUAACACAUGCAAGUCGAACGGAAAGGCCCUGCUUUUGUGGGGUGCUCGAGUGGCGAACGGGUGAGUAACACGUGAGUAACCUGCCCUUGACUUGGGGAUAACUUCAGGAAACUGGGGCUAAUACCGGAUAGGAGCUCCUGCUGCAUGGUGGGGGUUGGAAAGUUUCGGCGGUUGGGGAUGGACUCGCGGCUUAUCAGCUUGUUGGUGGGGUAGUGGCUUACCAAGGCUUUGACGGGUGGCCGGCCUGAGAGGGUGACCGGCCACAUUGGGACUGAGAUACGGCCCAGACUCCUACGGGAGGCAGCAGUGGGGAAUAUUGCACAAUGGGCGGAAGCCUGAUGCAGCAACGCCGCGUGCGGGAUGACGGCCUUCGGGUUGUAAACCGCUUUCGCCUGUGACGAAGCGUGAGUGACGGUAAUGGGUAAAGAAGCACCGGCUAACUACGUG
rnacentral:rRNA from 1 species